UGAAACAGCAGUUCACGUAAGAUCAACGAAGUUAAGCAACGUCGAACUUGUUCAGUACCUAGAUGGAUAACCUCUUGGGAAUUCCAGGUGCUGUAAG